UACGUAGGGUGCGAGCGUUGUCCGGAAUUAUUGGGCGUAAAGAGCUCGUAGGCGGUCUGUCGCGUCGAAUGUGAAAACCCGGGGCUCAACUCCGGGCUUGCAUUCGAUACGGGCAGGCUAGAGUUCGGUAGGGGAGUCUGGAAUUCCUGGUGUAGCGGUGAAAUGCGCAGAUAUCAGGAAGAACACCCGUGGCGAAGGCGGCUCUCUGGAACGCAACUGACGCUGAGACGCGAAAGCGUGGGGAGCAAACAGG
rnacentral:rRNA from 1 species